rnacentral:rRNA from 1 species
GUUUCCUACGGGGGGCAGCAGUGGGGAAUAUUGCACAAUGGGGGAAACCCUGAUGCAGCGACGCCGCGUGAGUGAAGAAGUAUCUCGGUAUGUAAAGCUCUAUCAGCAGGAAAGAUAAUGACGGUACCUGACUAAGAAGCCCCGGCUAACUACGUGCCAGCAGCCGCGGUAAUACGUAGGGGGCAAGCGUUAUCCGGAUUUACUGGGUGUAAAGGGAGCGUAGACGGCAGCGCAAGUCUGGAGUGAAAGGUACCGGCUCAACCGGUACAGGCUCUGGAAACUGGCGGGCUAGAGAGCAGGAGAGG